rnacentral:rRNA from 1 species
GAUGAACGCUGGCGGCGUGCCUAAUACAUGCAAGUCGAGCGAACGGACGAGAAGCUUGCUUCUCUGAUGUUAGCGGCGGACGGGUGAGUAACACGUGGAUAACCUACCUAUAAGACUGGGAUAACUUCGGGAAACCGGAGCUAAUACCGGAUAAUAUUUUGAACCGCAUGGUUCAAAAGUGAAAGACGGUCUUGCUGUCACUUAUAGAUGGAUCCGCGCUGCAUUAGCUAGUUGGUAAGGUAACGGCUUACCAAGGCAACGAUGCAUAGCCGACCUGAGAGGGUGAUCGGCCACACUGGAACUGAGACACGGUCCAGACUCCUACGGGAGGUAGCAGUAGGGAAUCUUCCGCAAUGGGCGAAAGCCUGACGGAGCAACGCCGCGUGAGUGAUGAAGGUCUUCGGAUCGUAAAACUCUGUUAUUAGGGAAGAGCAUAUGUGUAAGUAACUGUGCACAUCUUGACGGUACCUAAUCAGAAAGCCACGGCUAACUACGUG